UCCCUGGAGGACUAGAGGUUAGGCCACAGCGCUCUCACGGCUGCAGCCGGGGGUUCGAGUCCCAGCCAGGGAA